GCUUGUCUCAAAGAUUAAGCCAUGCAUGUCUAAGUAUAAACAAAUCUAUACGUGAAACUGCGAAUGGCUCAUUAUAUCAGUUAUAGUUUAUUUGAUGGUUCUUGCUACUUGGAUAACCGUAGUAAUUCUAGAGCUAAUACAUGCGUCAAGUCCGGACCGCGCGAGCGGGAAGGAUGUGUUUAUUAGAUACAACCAACCCUUCGGGUUCCUGGUGAUUCAUAAUAACUUUCGGAUCGAUCUUCGGAUCGAUGCAUCAUUCAAGUUUCUGCCCUAUCAGCUUUGGAUGGUAGGGUAUUGGCCUACCAUGGCUUUAACGGGUAACGGAGAAUUAGGGUUCGAUUCCGGAGAGGGAGCCUGAGAAAUGGCUACCACAUCCAAGGAAGGCAGCAGG
rnacentral:rRNA from 1 species